rnacentral:piRNA from 1 species
UGAUACUUCCAGUGUUUGUGA